rnacentral:rRNA from 1 species
CAGUCGCCCGGUAAUACAGAGGGUGCAAGCGUUAAUCGGAAUUACUGGGCGUAAAGCGCGCGUAGGUGGUUUGUUAAGUUGGAUGUGAAAUCCCCGGGCUCAACCUGGGAACUGCAUCCAAAACUGGCAAGCUAGAGUAUGGUAGAGGGUGGUGGAAUUUCCUGUGUAGCGGUGAAAUGCGUAGAUAUAGGAAGGAACACCAGUGGCGAAGGCGACCACCUGGACUGAUACUGACACUGAGGUGCGAAAGCGUGGGGAGCAAACAGGAUUAGAUACCCCAGUAGUCCCUGUCUCUUAUACC